UACGUAGGGCGCAAGCGUUAUCCGGAAUUAUUGGGCGUAAAGAGCUCGUAGGCGGCUUAGUAAGUUAGAGGUGAAAGCCCGGGGCUCAACCCCGGAACUGCCUUUAAGACUGCAUCGCUUGAAUCCAGGAGAGGUGAGUGGAAUUCCGAGUGUAGAGGUGAAAUUCGUAGAUAUCGGGAGGAACACCGGUGGCGAAGGCGGCCAUCUGGACGGAUACUGACGCUGAGACGCGAAAAGCGUGGGGAGCAAACAGG
rnacentral:rRNA from 1 species